UACGGGGGGGGCAAGCGUUGUUCGGAAUUACUGGGCGUAAAGGGCUCGUAGGCGGCCAACUAAGUCGGACGUGAAAUCCCCAGGCUCAACCUGGGAACUGCGUCCGAUACUGGAUGGCUUGAAUCCGGGAGAGGGAUGCAGAAUUCCAGGUGUAGCGGUGAAAUGCGUAGAUAUCUGGAGGAAUACCGGUGGCGAAGGCGGCAUCCUGGACCAACACUGACACUGAGGAGCGAAAGCCAGGGGAGCAAAAGGG
rnacentral:rRNA from 1 species